GAUGAACGCUAGCGGCAGGCCUAAUACAUGCAAGUCGAACGGUGUCUUCGGACAUAGUGGCGCACGUGUGCGUAACACGUAUGCAACCUACCUUACAUUGGGGGAUAGCCUUUCGAAAGGGAGAUUAAUACCGCAUAAGACAGUAGCUGGGCAUCCAGCAGCUGUUAAAGAUUUAUCGAUGUAAGCUGGGCAUGCGUCCAAUUAGCUAGUUAGUGAGGUAACGGCUCACCAAGGCAAUGAUUGGUAGGGGAACUGAGAGGUCAAUCCACCUCACUGACAGUGAGAUACGCGACAGACUCCUACGAGAGGCAGCAGUAGGGAAUAUUUGGCAAUUGUCGCAAGUCACACCCACCCAUUGCGCGGGCAGGAUGAAGGCGUUAUGCGUUGUAAACGUCUUUUACACAGGAAGAAACGACUCUUGCGGGAGGCAUUUACGGUACUGUAUGAAGAUGCACCGGCUAACUCCGUGCGAGCCGCCGCCGUAACAC
rnacentral:rRNA from 1 species